rnacentral:rRNA from 5 species
GGGUUGUGAGGUUAAGCGACUAAGCGUACACGGUGGAUGCCCUGGCAGUCAGAGGCGAUGAAGGACGUGCUAAUCUGCGAAAAGCGUCGGUAAGGUGAUAUGAACCGUUACAGCCGGCGAUGUCCGAAUGGGGAAACCCAGUGCAAUUCGUUGCACUAUCGUUAACUGAAUACAUAGGUUAACGAGGCGA